GCCUCGAUAGGGUAGUGGACAUCCUGGAAGCUUCCGGAGCUUUCGACCCGGGUUCGAGUCCCGGCCGGGGCA
rfam:Methanoplanus limicola DSM 2279 chromosome, whole genome shotgun sequence.